CGAAAGCGGCUNUCUGGUCUGUCACUGACGCUGAGGCUCGAAAGCGUGGGUAGCGAACAGGAUUAGAUACCCUGGUAGUCCACGCCGUAAACGCUGAGUGCUAGGUGUUAGGUCCUUUCCGGGACUUAGUGCCGACGCUAACGCAUUAAGCACUCCGCCUGGGGAGUACGACCGCAAGGUUGAAACUCAAAGGAAUUGACGGGGGCCCGCACAAGCGGUGGAGCAUGUGGUUUAAUUCGAAGCAACGCGAAGAACCUUACCAGGUCUUGACAUCCCGAUGCCCGCUCUAGAGAUAGAGUUUUUCUUCGGAACAUCGGAGACAGGUGGUGCAUGGUUGUCGUCAGCUCGUGUCGUGAGAUGUUGGGUUAAGUCCCGCAACGAGCGCAACCCUUAUUGUUAGUUGCCAUCAUUAAGUUGGGCACUCUAGCGAGACUGCCGGUAAUAAACCGGAGGAAGGUGGGGAUGACGUCAAAUCAUCAUGCCCCUUAUGACCUGGGCUACACACGUGCUACAAUGGUUGGUACAACGAGUCGCAAGCCGGUGACGGCAAGCUAAUCUCUGAAAGCCAAUCUCAGUUCGGAUUGUAGGCUGCAACUCGCCUACAUGAAGUCGGAAUCGCUAGUAAUCGCGGAUCAGCACGCCGCGGUGAAUACGUUCCCGGGCCUUGUACACACCGCCCG
rnacentral:rRNA from 1 species